rnacentral:rRNA from 1 species
GUAGGUGGCAAGCGUUGUCCGGAAUUAUUGGGCGUAAAGCGCGCGCAGGGCGGUUCUUUAAGUCUGAUGUGAAAGCCCACGGCUCAACCGUGGAGGGUCAUUGGAAACUGGAGAACUUGAGUACAGAAGAGGAAAGCGGAAUUCCACGUGUAGCGGUGAAAUGCGUAGGGAUGUGGAGGAACACCAGUGGCGAAGGCGGCUUUCUGGUCUGUAACUGACGCUGAGGCGCGAAAGCGUGGGGAGCGAACAGGAUUAGAUACCCUGGUAGUCCACGCCGUAAACGAUGAGUGCUAAGUGUUAGGGGGUUUCCGCCCCUUAGUGCUGCAGCUAACGCAUUAAGUACUCCGCCUGGGGAGUACGGCCGCAAGGCUG